AAGGGGCGGAAGCCUGACGCAGAGACGCCGCGUGGGGGAUGAAGGCCUUCGGGUUGUAAACCCCUUUCAGCAGGGAGGAAGCGAAAGUGACGGUACCUGCAGAAGAAGCGCCGGCUAACUACGUGCCAGCAGCCGCGGUAACACGUAGGGCGCAAGCGUUGUCCGGAAUUAUUGGGCGUAAAGAGCUCGUAGGUGGUCUGUUGCGUCCGCUGUGAAAACUCAGGGCUUAACCCUGAGCCUGCAGUGGAUACGGGCAGACUAGAGGUAGGUAGGGGAGAAUGGAAUUCCUGGUGUAGCGGUGAAAUGCGCAGAUAUCAGGAGGAACACCGGUGGCGAAGGCGGUUCUCUGGGCCUUACCUGACACUGAGGAGCGAAAGCGUGGGGAGCGAACAGGAUUAGAUACCCUGGUAGUCCACGCCGUAAACGUUGGGCGCUAGGUGUGGGAUCCUUCCACGGAUUCCGUGCCGCAGCUAACGCAUUAAGCGCCCCGCCUGGGGAGUACGGCCGCAAGGCUAAAACUCAAAGGAAUUGACG
rnacentral:rRNA from 1 species